rnacentral:rRNA from 1 species
GACGAACGCUGGCGGCGUGCCUAAUACAUGCAAGUAGAACGCUGAAGGAGGAGCUUGCUUCGCGGGAUGAGUUGCGAACGGGUGAGUAGCGCGUAGGUAACCUGCCUGGUAGCGGGGGAUAACUAUUGGAAACGAUAGCGAAUACCGCAUAAUAGUAGAUGUUGCAUGACAUUUGCUUAAAAGGUGCAAUUGCAUCACUACCGGAUGGACCGGCGUUGUAUUAGCUAGUUGGUGGGGUAACGGCUCACCAAGGCGACGAUACAUAGCCGACCUGAGAGGGUGAUCGGCCAGACUGGGUCUGAGACACGGCCCAGCCUCCUACGGGAGGCAGCAGUAGGGAGUCUUCGGCAAUGGACGGAAGUCUGACCGAGCAACGCCGCGUGAGUGAAGAAGGUUUUCGGAUCGUAAAGCUCUGUUGUAAGAGAAGAACGAGUGUGAGAGUGGAAAGUUCACACUGUGACGGUAUCUUACCAGAAAGAGACGGCUAACUACGUG